AGAGUUUGAUCCUGGCUCAGGAUGAACGCUGGCGGCGUGCCUAAUACAUGCAAGUCGAGCGAACGGACGAGAAGCUUGCUUCUCUGAUGUUAGCGGCGGACGGGUGAGUAACACGUGGAUAACCUACCUAUAAGACUGGGAUAACUUCGGGAAACCGGAGCUAAUACCGGAUAAUAUUUUGAACCGCAUGGUUCAAAAGUGAAAGACGGUCUUGCUGUCACUUAUAGAUGGAUCCGCGCUGCAUUAGCUAGUUGGUAAGGUAACGGCUUACCAAGGCAACGAUGCAUAGCCGACCUGAGAGGGUGAUCGGCCACACUGGAACUGAGACACGGUCCAGACUCCUACGGGAGGCAGCAGUAGGGAAUCUUCCGCAAUGGGCGAAAGCCUGACGGAGCAACGCCGCGUGAGUGAUGAAGGUCUUCGGAUCGUAAAACUCUGUUAUUAGGGAAGAACAUAUGUGUAAGUAACUGUGCACAUCUUGACGGUACCUAAUCAGAAAGCCACGGCUAACUACGUGCCAGCAGCCGCGGUAAUACGUAGGUGGCAAGCGUUAUCCGGAAUUAUUGGGCGUAAAGCGCGCGUAGGCGGUUUUUUAAGUCUGAUGUGAAAGCCCACGGCUCAACCGUGGAGGGUCAUUGGAAACUGGAAAACUUGAGUGCAGAAGAGGAAAGUGGAAUUCCAUGUGUAGCGGUGAAAUGCGCAGAGAUAUGGAGGAACACCAGUGGCGAAGGCGACUUUCUGGUCUGUAACUGACGCUGAUGUGCGAAAGCGUGGGGAUCAAACAGGAUUAGAUACCCUGGUAGUCCACGCCGUAAACGAUGAGUGCUAAGUGUUAGGGGGUUUCCGCCCCUUAGUGCUGCAGCUAACGCAUUAAGCACUCCGCCUGGGGAGUACGACCGCAAGGUUGAAACUCAAAGGAAUUGACGGGGACCCGCACAAGCGGUGGAGCAUGUGGUUUAAUUCGAAGCAACGCGAAGAACCUUACCAAAUCUUGACAUCCUUUGACAACUCUAGAGAUAGAGCCUUCCCCUUCGGGGGACAAAGUGACAGGUGGUGCAUGGUUGUCGUCAGCUCGUGUCGUGAGAUGUUGGGUUAAGUCCCGCAACGAGCGCAACCCUUAAGCUUAGUUGCCAUCAUUAAGUUGGGCACUCUAAGUUGACUGCCGGUGACAAACCGGAGGAAGGUGGGGAUGACGUCAAAUCAUCAUGCCCCUUAUGAUUUGGGCUACACACGUGCUACAAUGGACAAUACAAAGGGCAGCGAAACCGCGAGGUCAAGCAAAUCCCAUAAAGUUGUUCUCAGUUCGGAUUGUAGUCUGCAACUCGACUACAUGAAGCUGGAAUCGCUAGUAAUCGUAGAUCAGCAUGCUACGGUGAAUACGUUCC
rnacentral:rRNA from 2 species